rnacentral:rRNA from 1 species
UACAGAGGGUGCGAGCGUUGUCCGGAAUCACUGGGCGUAAAGGGCGCGUAGGCGGCUGGGUAAGUAGGGGGUGAAAUCUCAUGGCUCAACUGUGAGGCUGCCUUCUAGACUACCUAGCUCGAGCAUGGUAGAGGCUGGUGGAAUUCCCGGUGUAGCGGUGGAAUGCGUAGAGAUCGGGAGGAACACCUGUGGCGAAGGCGGCCCCCUGGUUGGAUACUGACGCUGAGGCACGAAAGCGUGGGGAGCAAACAGG